AUAUUUUCGACCACUUUUAACUGCGGGCGGUUUGCUAACUUAAAAUCGUGCGUUUUCAUGAGGUCAUGAGCUACAUCAGAGGAGGAAAGUACGAGGACUGGGACGCGGCCGAAAUGAAGGAGCAUGAGUGGGCCGUAUCGGAAGCUUAGGGAACGAAGAGAACGGUGAGGGUGGAGGCUUAGCUGGUGGAGGUUACCAAUCACGGGAAGUCGCCAUGGAGAAGGUGGUAGGUUGGGUUUGGUAGCGGGUCGUUUGAGUAGUCGGUUUAGGAGAAGAAGUGCUAGGAUUGUUGUUAGGGAAAGAGAGAUGAUUAUCAUUUCCAUUCUGUACUUUGAAACUAAAAUCAAAUCUCUCACUCGUUGAUAUAUUUUUGUUACAAUGAAUAAAACAAAACUCUUUUAACUACCACCAGGUGUUUGUUCCACCAUGAGUUAGACAAUAACAAGGUAUUUUUCAACUAUGGAUUUAAAAGAGUUUAAAUCUUUGGAUAAUAUGUUCUUGUUCAACAAUUGAAUUUAAAUAUAUGUAUAUAUAGGACAUGCUAUUUGUAAAUCAUGUUUGUGAGGUUUUAA